rnacentral:rRNA from 1 species
AUUGAACGCUGGCGGCAGGCUUAACACAUGCAAGUCGAGCGGUAACAUUUCUAGCUUGCUAGAAGAUGACGAGCGGCGGACGGGUGAGUAAUGCUUGGGAAUAUGCCUUAUGGUGGGGGACAACAGUUGGAAACGACUGCUAAUACCGCAUAAUGUCUACGGACCAAAGGGGGGGAUCUUCGGACCUCUCGCCAUUUGAUUAGCCCAAGUGAGAUUAGCUAGUUGGUGAGGUAAUGGCUCACCAAGGCGACGAUCUCUAGCUGGUUUGAGAGGAUGAUCAGCCACACUGGGACUGAGACACGGCCCAGACUCCUACGGGAGGCAGCAGUGGGGAAUAUUGCACAAUGGGCGCAAGCCUGAUGCAGCCAUGCCGCGUGUGUGAAGAAGGCCUUCGGGUUGUAAAGCACUUUCAGUAAGGAGGAAAGGGAUGUAGUUAAUAACUGCAUUCUGUGACGUUACUUACAGAAGAAGCACCGGCUAACUUCGUGCCAGCAGCCGCGGUAAUACGAGGGGUGCAAGCGUUAAUCGGAAUUACUGGGCGUAAAGCGUUCGUAGGCGGUUGAUUAAGCAAGAUGUGAAAGCCCAGGGCUCAACCUUGGAACUGCAUUUUGAACUGGUCAACUAGAGUACUGUAGAGGGUGGUGGAAUUUCCAGUGUAGCGGUGAAAUGCGUAGAGAUUGGAAGGAACAUCAGUGGCGAAAGCGGCCACCUGGACAGAUACUGACGCUGAGGAACGAAAGCGUGGGGAGCGAACAGGAUUAGAUACCCUGGUAGUCCACGCCGUAAACGAUGUCAACUAGCCGUUUGUGUCCUAGAGACGUGAGUGGCGCAGC